CGUACACUCCUACGGGAGGCAGCAGUGGGGAAUAUUGGACAAUGGGCGCAAGCCUGAUCCAGCCAUGCCGCGUGAGUGAUGAAGGCCCUAGGGUUGUAAAGCUCUUUCACCGGUGAAGAUAAUGACGGUAACCGGAGAAGAAGCCCCGGCUAACUUCGUGCCAGCAGCCGCGGUAAUACGAAGGGGGCUAGCGUUGUUCGGAUUUACUGGGCGUAAAGCGCACGUAGGCGGACUAUUAAGUCAGGGGUGAAAUCCCGGGGCUCAACCCCGGAACUGCCUUUGAUACUGGUAGUCUUGAGUUCGAGAGAGGUGAGUGGAAUUCCGAGUGUAGAGGUGAAAUUCGUAGAUAUUCGGAGGAACACCAGUGGCGAAGGCGGCUCACUGGCUCGAUACUGACGCUGAGGUGCGAAAGCGUGGGGAGCAAACAGGAUUAGAAACCCUAGUAGUCCCAUG
rnacentral:rRNA from 1 species